rnacentral:lncRNA from 1 species
UGUCACGACCUAACUUCUCCACUCCACCAACUCCACCCAUUAACACAUCUAUUAAACCCACCUUCUCCACUAUGUCACCUGUAAUCAAAAGAAACAAAAAAAAAAUCAGAGAGAAGAAAAGAGAAGAGUAGAGAAGAGAAGGGAAGAGAAAAGAAGAGAGGGGAAGGUGAGAAGAAGGAUUUGGAGAGGUUGAGCUCGUCACCGGAGUUCGUUAGAGCCUCUGCACCCCGUGACCGUGUUGAGCUCGCCACCACCGUUAACCGCAGGUAACCACCGCGAAAAUCCCAUGAUUUAAGUUCAGUUUCGGUUCCGUUUAGUAAAUCGCCCAUAACUUCCUAACCGUUGAGAAUAUGUUCAGUCUGCUUGAAUCGAGUCUACCAUUGCUUGUUUAGUUAUUAGGUUCUUUGCUUAAACCGGAACUAGGGUGGUAGAUGGUUCAACAAUGAUUGAUUCACUUGAUAUAAUUCUUAGUUAUGGAUAUGUUUGGGGCGGCUACAGGAAGGUGUUCCUGUAUGUCAGAUUGUUUGUAAGGGUACGGCCAGAUUCAGUCGACCGUCUGGACCGUAUUCUGGAGAGGUCGAUAAAUCGUCUAAGGGCGGUGUUACCGAGCACUUAGGUCGGCGUGUUUCAUUUGGCCUGUUAGUGGGCAGCGAGUGUGCGCCUUGCUAGGACCAUUGCUUGUUACUUGGGUACUUUAGGUACCGUGUUUGACAUGUAUUAGAUUUAAAUUAUAAUUAUUCAAAAUGUUAUGUCCGUGUUCCCGGACUUCGGGAUAGCAUCCCAUACCUCAUUGGGCGAUUCCCCUGUCGCUCACCCCUCACUCUUCCCCCCUUUUAGGUGAGAUCGAUGAGCAGGAGUGAUCUUAUCGGACUUGGGCUUCUUGGUGCUAUUUGGGCUUUUGGGCUUUUACCACUAUCGGGCUUUGAACUUCUAUCACUCUUAUCGUUUUAUCGCUUUUGGGCCUUUGGGCUUCUAUCUAUCGUUUAUGUUUAUUUCCAUUUCAGACUUUCGGUUUAUGUCGUACUUUAUAUUUCGGAUGUUAUCGUUAUCGGGCCUUUUGGCCUUAUGUCAUCGUAUUGACUUUUAUAUUAUAAUGGAGAUUAAUAUUAUUAUUUGAGUUGUAUUAUUAUUUUAUUUCCGCUUUUAUUUAUUAUUAUAUCUCGAAAGUGACGGGUGUCACAAUAUCCUUCAAGCUAAAUUCAGUUCAAGAUUCAUCCAGACGCUUGAAGAGAAGGUCGCCAACAGCCGCUUAACCCAAGACUGGUCAACUCUUCGAGUUCACCUCCAACCUCUGCAUUAUUGACCAAACUGCCAACCAAACCGACCAGAGCUCACCGGAGAAAAGGGUCUGGCCAGGUGCAUUGGCUGAGAUCAAACGACAUCGCUUCAUCUAGUCCAGCUACAAACUGCUCAUGUGUGGGAUCAUUACCGGACCGGAUCCGUUUUGAAAGCAUGAUUUUUGGCGAUGAUAAUGAAAGAGAUAAAGGAGGAGAACCUGAAACGAUGGAGAGAGAGAGAGAGAACGGACAUAACAGCGACAAAGAAGAUGGUGGGUCUCACGACAAUGAUGAAAGCAUGAUUUUUUAUGAGAUGAAAGCAUGAUUUUUUAUGAUGUGGGGGGUUAUGAUGGAAGAUGUGCUAGAUGAAGAAGAUGGUUGGUGUUUGGUCUGAAAAGGAAAGAAACGAUGAUGCCCUUUCACGUGGAUCAGUCUUUUAGGUGAGAUCGAUGAGCAGGAGUGAUCUUAUCGAACUUGGGCUUUUUGGUGCUAUUUGGGCUUUUGGGCUUUUACCACUAUCGGGCUUUGGACUUCUAUCACUCUUAUCGUUUUAUCACUUUUGGGCCUUUGGGCUUCUAUCUAUCGUUUAUGUUUAUUUCCAUUUCAGACUUUCGGUUUAUGUCGUACUUUAUAUUUCGGAUGUUAUCGUUAUCGGGCCUUUUGGCCUUAUGUCAUCGUAUUGACUUUUAUAUUAUAAUGGAGAUUAUAAUUAUUAUUUGAGUUGUAUUAUUAUUUUAUUUCCGCUUUUAUUUAUUAUUAUAUCUCGAAAGUGACGGGUGUCACAAUCUGGUAUCAGAGCGGGUUCCGUCCCGGCCCCGACCCGGGAUGGCGAUUCGUGGAGACUCGGUUUUGACUCGAUUUUAAUUCGGUUUUAUACGGUUUUGGAAGUUUUAGUGGAGAUUUGAGAAUUUUAAAAAUUAAAACCAAUAGCACCGUUUCGUCCGAUAUUACUCCUUUAAUUAAUGAAUUCAUUGUUCAUCGGAAGUUGACUUAUUUUGUGACACCCGUCACUUUCGAGAUAUAAUAAUAAAUAAAAGCGGAAAUAAAAUAAUAAUACAACUCAAAUAAUAAUAUUAAUCUCCAUUAUAAUAUAAAAGUCUGUGACACCCGUCACCUCCUAUAUGGAGGACAGCGUGUGACCCCCGACGCGUCAUCAUACAACAAUGUGACACCCGUCUCCCUGACACUAAGGACGACGGGCCACCAACAAUAUCCCGUAAUAUAAAAGCCCAUAAACCCGACAACUCUCACCCAUGCCCAAAUAAAAUCCGAAAGAAAAGUCCAAUAGCACCAAGUCCGUCCAAAUAUCACAUACUUGUUUGUCUCACCUGAAAAGGGAAAGAGUGAGGGGUGAGCGACAGGGGAAUCGCCCAAUGAGGUAUGGGAUGCUAUCCCGAAGUCCGGGAACACGGACAUAACAUUUCGAAUAAUUAUAAUUUAAAUCUAAUACAUGUCAAACACGGUACCUAAAGUACCCAAGUAACAAGCAAUGGUCCUAGCAAGGCGCACACUCGCUGCCCACUAACAGGCCAAAUGAAACACGCCGACCUAAGUGCUCGGUAACACCGCCCUUAGACGAUUUAUCGACCUCUCCAGAAUACGGUCCAGACGGUCGACUGAAUCUGGCCGUACCCUUACAAACAAUCUGACAUACAGGAACACCUUCCUGUAGCCGCCCCAAACAUAUCCAUAACUAAGAAUUAUAUCAAGUGAAUCAAUCAUUGUUGAACCAUCUACCACCCUAGUUCCGGUUUAAGCAAAGAACCUAAUAACCAAACAAGCAAUGACAGACUCGAUUCAAGCAGACGGAACAUAUUAGAAAUAAAUUAUAUUUAUUCGGAAUCCUAAGCCGUGAACGAGAAGUUCGGAAUAGACACUCACCUUAGCAAGGAAGAGGAGUGGUAUCUAUGAACUCCAACUGCUCAAAUGGACUCCAAAUCUGAAAUCAGAUCGAAAUUCCGAGUCAGAACGCCUUUCGAACGGUUUAAAACGGGUAUUUACGGGAAAGUCAACCCGCUGGUCAAAGAUCAAUUAUUUAAUUAAUUAUUCAAUUAUUUAAUUAAUUAAUUAAUUAAUUAAUUCGGUUUAUCCUAACCGAUUUCCAAUUGAUUUUAACCGACCGGUUUAACCUAACCGAAUUGAAAUCAAUUUAAACCGGCUAACCAACCGGUUAACCGAGUCAACCGAGUUGACUCGCUGAGUUGACUCGGCCGAGUUGACCGAGUCACCGGUGUCGGUCACCGGCGGCGACGGCGGAGCUGCGGCGGCGACUUACCGGAAAGUUGGCCGGCGGCGACUUACCGGAAAGUUGGCCGGCGGCGACGGCGGAGCUGCGGCACGCGCGCGCGAAGGGCGGUUUUCUGGAGGCGCGUACGGCUUCGUCCGGGCUCCGUUUGAGGCGUGCUUGGUGUCUACGGCUUCGGCUUGUCGAGGGGGACNNNNNNNNNNNNNNNNNNNNNNNNNNNNNNNNNNNNNNGGGAAAGAGUGAGGGGUGAGCGACAGGGGAAUCGCCCAAUGAGGUAUGGGAUGCUAUCCCGAAGUCCGGGAACACGGACAUAACAUUUCGAAUAAUUAUAAUUUAAAUCUAAUACAUGUCAAACACGAUACCUAAAGUACCCAAGCAACAAACAAUGGUCCUAGCGAGGUGUGCACUCGCUGCCCACUAACAGGCCAAAUGAAACACGCCGACCUAAGUGCUCGGUAACACCGCCCUUAGACGAUUUAUCGACCUCUCCAGAAUACGGUCCAGACGGUCGACUGAAUCUGGCCGUACCCUUACAAACAAUCUGACAUACAGGAACACCUUCCUGUAGCCGCCCCAAACAUAUCCAUAACUAAGAAUUAUAUCAAGUGAAUCAAUCAUUGUUGAACCAUCUACCACCCUAGUUCCGGUUUAAGCAAAGAACCUAAUAACUAAACAAGCAAUGGUAGACUCGAUUCAAGCAGACUGAACAUAUUAGAAAUAAAUUAUAUUUAUUCGGAAUCCUAAGCCGUGAACGAGAAGUUCGAAAUAGACACUCACUUUAGCAAGGAAGAGGAGUGGUAUCUAUGAACUCCAACUGCUCAAAUGGACUCCAAAUCUGAAAUCAGAUCGAAAUUUCGAGUCAGAACACCUUUCGAACGGUUUAAAACGGGUAUUUACGGGAAAGUCAACCCGCUGGUCAAAGAUCAAUUAUUUAAUUAAUUAUUCAAUUAUUUAAUUAAUUAAUUAAUUAAUUAAUUCGGUUUAUCCUAACCGAUUUCCAAUUGAUUUUAACCGACCGGUUUAACCUAACCGAAUUGAAAUCAAUUUAAACCGGCUAACCAACCGGUUAACCGAGUCAACCGAGUUGACUCGCUGAGUUGACUCGGCCGAGUUGACCGAGUCACCGGUGUCGGUCACCGGCGGCGACGGCGGAGCUGCGGCGGCGACUUACCGGAAAGUUGGCCGGCGGCGACUUACCGGAAAGUUGGCCGGCGGCGACGGCGGAGCUGCGGUGCAGGGCGAUCUUCUGGAAGCGCGUGAGGGCUCGUCCAGGCUCCAAUCGCGGCGCGGUUGGUGUCUAUGGCUUCGUCUCGACGAGAAGAACACGAUGAUGGUCUUGCAGGCACGAAAUUCUCAACAGUUAGGAAGUUAUGGGCGAUUUACUAAACGGAACCGAAACUGAACUUAAAUCAUGGGAUUUUCGCGGUGGUUACCUGCGGUUAACGGUGGUGGCGAGCUCAACACGGUCACAGGGUGCAGAGGCUCUAACGAACUCCGGUGACGAGCUCAACCUCUCCAAAUCCUUCUUCUCACCUCCCCCUCUCUUCUCUUCUCUCUGAUUUUUUUUUUAUUUCUUUUUAUUGCAGGUGACAUAGUGGAGAAGGUGGGUUUAAUAGAUGUGUUAAUGGGUGGAGUUGGUGGAGUGGAGAAGUUAGGUCGUGACAUAUUUGUGCCCCAUUUCAGAUGCCACCAAAGAGAAGAGCCAACAGACCAACCAUAUUUGUAUGGAGAGAAGGUGAAGAUUUUCACAGACCACCAGAGUCUGAAGUACAUAUUUACUCAGACGGAUUUGAAUUUGAGGGAGCGUAGAUGGAUGGAGUUGUUAGCAGACUACAACUUGGAGAUUACUUAUCAUCCGGGAAAAGCUAAUCAGGUGGCAGAUGCUUUGAGUAGGCGCAGAAGCGAUGUUUCAGGAACCAAAGAGGUUCGUGAGCUUACUGGGAUGCUCUCUAGUCUCAGAUUGUGUGCUACUACUGUGGACAAAGACACCGUUUGUCUCGAGGCUGUAGAGCAGGCAGAUUUGCUGAGUAAAAUACGCAAAGCUCAGGAUGCUGAUAAGGCUUUGUGUAAGCAGAUCGAGAUUGAGAGUAUUGGAUAUCAUACAGCUUCGAGUGGGAUGUUCAUGUAUCGGAACCGGGUUUGUGUGCCUAAUGACGAGUUGUUAAAAAAGGAAAUCUUGCAGCAGGCACACCACUCGCGUUUCUCGGAACAUAUUAGAAAUAAAUUAUAUUUAUUCGGAAUCCUAAGCCGUGAACGAGAAGUUCGAAAUAGACACUCACUUUAGCAAGGAAGAGGAAAACACCAAGAUGUACAAGGAUCUCAAGCGUUAUUAUCAUUGGCCUGACAUGAAGAGGGAUGUUGCUUCGUUUAUAUCGCAGUGUCAGACGUGUCAGAUGGUCAAGGCCGAGCAUCAGGUGCCUAGCGGGUUAUUGCAGAACCUGACAUUGCCAGAGUGGAAAUGGGACAUGGUAACUAUGGAUUUUGUGACGGGGUUGCCGACCACCUUAGGAGGAAAGAAUGCCAUCUGGGUAAUCGUGGAUAGACUUACCAAGUCAGCCCAUUUUCUAGCUAUUAAGAAGACGGACAGAGCUGAUCAGUUAGCACAGACUUACAUCAGCGAGAUUGUGAGAUUGCAUGGAGUUCCUGUCAGCAUUGUAUCAGAUCGAGAUACAAAGUUUACGUCCGAAUUUUGGAGAGCCUUCCAGAAGGCGCUUGGGACGAAAGUGCAUAUGAGUACGGCUUAUCACCCGCAGACAGACGGUCACAGGUUGGCGACCUUGUAUACCUGAAAAUGAGGACAUUUCAGGGAGGAUCUAAGACUCGAAAGCUAAAGAAGCUUAAGCCGAGAUAUAUGGGACCAUAUCCUAUUUUGGAGCGGAUUGGAGCAGUUGCCUACCGAUUGGACUUAUCAGAAGAGUUAUCAGACUUCCAUGACGUGUUUCAUGUUUCGGUUUUAAGGAAAGUCGUGAGAGAACCGGAGCUCAUUUUACAACAGCCGCCCAGUGACCUUGAUAGAAAUUUGCGUGCGCCGUGUCAGCCAGUGGAGAUAUUGGAUCGACAAGUGAGAGCAGAUAAUGGUAUGAUGACCAUGUUGGUCAAAGUUCGUUGGGAGAGAGACGGGAUUCUGGAGGAGACCUGGGAGUCUGAGCCGCAGAUGAGGAUUGAUUAUCCAGUACUUUUUCGGGAUGAUGUUGGGCAGUAAGUUCUUGACUCGAAUUCGGGACGAAUUCCUUAUUAGUGGGGGAGAAUUGUCACGACCUAACUUCUCCACUCCACCAACUCCACCCAUUAACACAUCUAUUAAACCCACCUUCUCCACUAUGUCACCUGCAAUCAAAAGAAACAAAAAAAAAAAUCAGAGAAAAGAGAAGAGAAGAGCGGUUAGUUAAAUUAAUUAAUUAAUUAAUCAAUCUUGGUUAAGGUAAACCGGAUGGUCUGAUUGGAAUUGAUUUCGGUCAAGGAAAACCGGUUGGUUUAAAUCAAUUCCAAUCUGGUCAAGGGUUGACCGGAUUGGGUCAGAGUUGACUGGGUUGACCUUUGACUAGCGGGUUGACUUUUCCGUAGACUUUGAUCAAACCCGUUUUAAACCGUUCGAAAACUGUUUUGACUCAGACUUUCGCCCUGAUUUCAUAUUUGGAGUCUAUUUGAGCAGCUGGAGUUCAUAGACAUCACUUCUCUUUAUUGCUAAGGUGAGGGUCUAUUCCCGAACUUCUCGUACACUGCUUAAGACCUCGAAUAAGUAUAAUUUAUUUCUAAUAUGUUCAGUCUGCGUGAAAUCGAGUAUGUCAUUGCUUGUUUAGUUUUAGGUUAUUUGCUUAAACCGGAACUAGGAAGUUAGAUGAUUCAACAUUGACUGCUUCACUUAAUGUAAUGUUUAGUUAUAAUUGUUUGAGACAGAUAAAGAGACGGACUUCUGUAUGUCGGAUUGUAUGAGAGGCUACGGCCAGUCAGUCGACCGGCUGGACCGUAGUCUGGUGUGGUCGAUAAAGCGUCUGAGGGCGGUGACACCGAGCACUCUCUCGGAAGUGUUUGUUUGGCAUGUUAGUGGGCAGCGAGUGCGCACCUCGCUAGGAC